rnacentral:rRNA from 1 species
GGAGGAAGCAGGGGAUCGCAAGACCUUGCGCUUUUGGAGCGGCCGAUGCCUGAUUAGCUUGUUGGUGAGGUAAAAGCUCACCAAGGCUCCGAUCAGUAGCUGGUCUGAGAGGACGACCAGCCACACUGGGACUGAGACACGGCCCAGACUCCUACGGGAGGCAGCAGUGGGGAAUUUUGGACAAUGGGGGCAACCCUGAUCCAGCCAUGCCGCGUGAGUGAAGAAGGCCUUCGGGUCGUAAAGCUCCUUCAGCCGGAACGAAACGGUCACGGUUAACACCCGUGACUACUGACGGUACCGGAAGAAGAAGCACCGGCUAACUACGUGCCAGCAGCCGCGGUAAUACGUAGGGUGCGAGCGUUAAUCGGAAUUACUGGGCGUAAAGCGUGCGCAGGCGGUUUUGUAAGUCAGAUGUGAAAUCCCCGGGCUUAACCUGGGAACUGCGUUUGAAACUACAAGGCUAG